rnacentral:rRNA from 1 species
GACAGAGGUGCCGAGCGUUAGGCGGAAUCACUGGGCUUAAAGCGUGUGUAGGCGGACCCGUCAGUGUCUUGUGAAAUCCCACGGCUCAACCGUGGAACGGCUGGGCAUACUGCGGGUCUUGAGAGACCUAGGGCGAGCGGAACAGGCGGUGGAGCGGUGAAAUGCGUAGAUAUCGCCUGGAACGCCGACGGUGAAAACAGCUCGCUGGGGGUCUUCUGACGCUGAGACACGAAAGCCAGGGGAGCGAACGGGAUUAAGAUGACCCGA